rnacentral:rRNA from 1 species
AAUUAUUUUAAUUAAAUUUGUGUUUAUUUUGGUUAUAUAUUGUAAUUUAUAGUAUUAUGGAGAAAUAAUUUCUUAUUAUUAAACUGAAAAGGUUAUGUAUAAUUUUAUAUUAAUGAAUAUUAAAGUACCUUUUGUAUCAGGGUAAUUUAAUUUAAUUAAAUAUUUUAUGCUCCCGAAUUAAUGAUAUCUAUAAAUUUAUGUAAUUGUUUGUUGAAUAAAAUUUUAUAAUAUUUUUAUAGUAAUGAAAUGUUUACGUUCUUUCUUUAUCUGGUUGUUAAGGAUUUAAUAUAAUUAUAUAUCUAUAAAAUAUUUGUAAUUUAUAAUUUAUUAGAUGUUAUUUUAUUAGGGAUAAUCUUAAUAAAUUUAUUAAAAUAUUAGUUUUAAUACAUUUAUUUUCUUUUAAAUUUUGAUUUAAGUUUUUAUUAAAUUUUUGUAUUUGAUUAUGAUUUGUUUUUAUUUAUUUUUGUACUUAAUUAUUUUAUAAAAUUUUUAUAUAGCAUAAAUAAUGAUUUAAUUAGUAUAAUUUUAAUUUAACUUAAAAUGAAUUCGACAAUAACUAUUUCCAACUGUUUAUCAAAAACAUUUCUUUUUGUUAUUAUAAAAAAAGUACUUUCUGCCCUAUGAUAUAAUUUAAAUGGCUGCAGUAUUUUGACUGUACAAAGGUAGCAUAAUAAUUAGUUUCUUAAUUAGAAGCUGGAAUGAAUGGAUAUAUGAGAUAUAAUUUUUAUUUGGCUUAAAGUUAUAAGUUUAAUUGUAAGUAAAAAUGCUUAUAUAAUUUUUAGGGACGAGAAGACCCUACAGAGCUUAAAAUAUUAAGCUUAAAUUUUUUUUAAUAUAAAUAUUUUAUAGAGUUGAAAAAUUUUUUGCUGGGGUGGUAGUUAAAUUUUAACUUUAAUUUGUUUAUUCAUUAAUAGAUGUCUAAUUUGAUCCUGUAGGAAUUAAGAUAAAGUUACCUUAGGGAUAACAGCGUAAUUUUAAUGGGGAGUUCUUAUCUAUAUUAUAUUUUGCGACCUCGAUGUUGAAUUAAGAAAAUCUAAGGAAGCAGCAUUCCUUAUCUUAAGUCUGUUCGACUUUUAAAUUCUUACAUGAUUUGAGUUCAGACCGGCGUGAGCCAGGUUGGUUUCUAUCUUAAAAUAUUUUAUUAGCUUAGUACGAAAGGACCAGUUAGUUAUACGUUUUAAAGUAUUUUAUUAAUAA